rnacentral:rRNA from 1 species
CAGUAGCCGCGGUAAUACGGAGGGUGCGAGCGUUAAUCGGAAUAACUGGGCGUAAAGGGCACGCAGGCGGUGACUUAAGUGAGGUGUGAAAGCCCCGGGCUUAACCUGGGAAUUGCAUUUCAUACUGGGUCGCUAGAGUACUUUAGGGAGGGGUAGAAUUCCACGUGUAGCGGUGAAAUGCGUAGAGAUGUGGAGGAAUACCGAAGGCGAAGGCAGCCCCUUGGGAAUGUACUGACGCUCAUGUGCGAAAGCGUGGGGAGCAAACAGGAUUAGAUACCCGCGUAGUCCCUGUCUCUUAUAC